AUUUAAAUAACUUAUACAGAGUGUGAUAUUGAAGAUGUCAAAGAGAUUUAAAUAAUCUUUAAAUA
rnacentral:tRNA from 1 species